GCGCAGGCGGAAUGAUUAGUCAGUGGUGAAAUCCUACAGCUCAACUGUAGAACUGCCAUUGAUACUGUCAUUCUUGAGUACAGUUGAAGUGGGCGGAAUGUAUCAUGUAGCGGUGAAAUGCAUAGAUAUGAUACAGAACUCCUAUAGCGAAGGCAGCUCACUAAACUGUUACUGACGUUCAGCCACGAAAGCGUGGGGAGCAAACAGGAUUAGAUACCCUGGUAGUCCACGCCGUAAACGAUGAUCACUCGUUGUUGGCAACACAUAGUCAGCGACUGAACGAAAGUAUUAAGUGAUCCACCUGGGGAGUACGAUCGCAAGGUUGAAACUCAAAGGAAUUGACGGGGGCCCGCACAAGCGGAGGAGCAUGUGGUUUAAUUCGAUGAUACGCGAGGAACCUUACCUGGGCUUAAAUGUUUAAUGACCGACUGGGAAACCAGUCUUCUCUUCGGAGCAUUUUACAAGGUGCUGCAUGGUUGUCGUCAGCUCGUGCCGU
rnacentral:rRNA from 1 species